UACGAAGGGGGCUAGCGUUGUUCGGAAUCACUGGGCGUAAAGCGCACGUAGGCGGAUGUGUCAGUCAGGGGUGAAAUCCCGGAGCUCAACUCCGGAACUGCCUCUGAUACAGCACGUCUUGAGUCCGGAAGAGGUGGGUGGAAUUCCUAGUGUAGAGGUGAAAUGCGUAGAUAUUGGGAGGAACACCAGUGGCGAAGGCGGCUCACUGGACCGGUACUGACGCUGAGGCGCGAAAGCGUGGGUAGCAAACAGG
rnacentral:rRNA from 1 species